rnacentral:rRNA from 1 species
UACGUAGGGGGCAAGCGUUGUCCGGAUUUAUUGGGCGUAAAAGGCUUGUAGGUGGCCACGCCAAGUCGGAUGUGAAAUCUCCCGGCUCAACUGGGAGGGGUCAUUCGAUACUGGCGGGCUCGAGGCCGGUAGGGGGAAGUGGAAUUCCCGGUGUAGUGGUGGAAUGCGUAGAUAUCGGGAGGAACACCAGUGGCGAAGGCGGCUUCCUGGACCGGUUCUGACACUGAGGAGCGAAAGCGUGGGGAGCGAUCAGG